ACUACCACCUGAUCAGAGCUGAUUUUUGAGCUACAAGACUUCAGCUCAAAGCAUUUUUUUUUCUAUAAAUCAAACCAAAACCAGAGGAAGCAAGAAUUCAUUUGCUACACAGUUCAGUAUCUACUCUCUCUCUCUCUCACUCCCCUCGCACGCACAGAGCUGAGCUUGAAGAAGAUGUCAAGCAGAAGGGGAAGAAUUUCUAUUUCUUCCAUUAUUGGACCAAGAAUAGCUUACUACAAUAAUUGGCUAUUAAAAGGUACUUCCAAAUCUCCAUCUCCAUCUCCAUCUCUAUCUCUACUUGCUAUAGUUAAUCAACCCUCUUGUUUCUUAUUUGUUCUGUUUCGUUCUCUCUCUAACACCACCAAAAACCCUACUUCUCCUCCUCAAGGACGCGAACCUAAACCUGAAGCCAUACCCAAACAACCAUGCAAUUUGGGUCCCAAUCAUCUUCAUUCUGCUUUAAUUUCCUUCAAUCGCAUGCUCCGAAUGCGACCUUUGCCCCCAAUUUCUCAAUUCAAUAAAGCUUUAGGCCCUAUUUUGAAAAUGGGUCAUUACGCCACUGCGCUUUCUCUUAUUCAUAACAAGUUGCAACAGCUCCAAGGCAUUCAGGUCGAUAUCUACACCUUCAACAUUGCUAUUAACUGUUACUGCCACCUUAAUAGAGUUGAUUUUGGGUUGUCUCUUUUGGGUACCCUCUUCAAACGCGGCUAUACACCCAAUGUAAUUACCUUUACAACUCUGAUUAAUGGACUUAUUUUGCAAGAUAAAACUCCUCAAGCUGUGGAGUUGUUUAAGAAAUUAAUGAGGAGUAGAGAAAUUGAACCCAACGUGGUUAUGUAUGGAACCAUUGUCAAUGGGCUCUGCAGAACGGGGAACACUGUCAGGGCUGUUAGUUUGCUUAGGAUUAUGGAAGAGGGAAGUUGUAAACCUGACACCGUAGUGUAUACCACGAUCAUUGACAGUCUUUGCAAGGAUAGAAUGGUGGAUGAUGCUCUCAAACUCUUUUCUAAAAUGGAUGAAAAGGGUAUUUUCCCAGAUGUUGUCACUUAUACUUCUUUGAUUCAUGGCCUAUGUAAUUUUGGCCGGUGGAAGGAGGCUACUGGAAUGUUCAGAGAAAUGUUGGAUAGUGGUAUUGCUCCAAAUGUUCAUACGUAUAAUGUGUUGCUGGAUGCAUGUACCAAGGAAGGGAAGAUGAAAGAGGCAGAGGGGGUAAUUGAAGUCAUGAUACAAAGAGGUGUGGCUCCUAAUGUAGUCACAUACAGUACUCUAAUGGAUGGAUAUUGUUUGCAAGGCCAAAUGGAUGAAGCAAUUAGAGUGUUCAAUACCAUGGUGGAUAGGGGCCUUCACCCCAAUGUUUUUAGCUAUAACAUUCUAAUCAAUGGAUAUUGCAAGAAAAUGAAAAUAGAUGAGGCCAUGCAUCUCUUUCGAGAAUUGCCUCGAAGGGGGUUGAAACCCGACAAUGGAACUUUUGGUGCUAUGUUACGAGGUUUGUUUCAAACAGGUAGAUGUGGAGCUGCUCAAAAACUUUUUAAUGAUAUGCAAGCUGCAGGCAUAAUUCCAAAUUCUCUAACUUAUGGUAUCUUAUUGGAUGGGUUGUGCAAAAAUGGGCAUAUUUCUGAAGCAUUGUCAUUAUUCCACGUGAUGGAAAGCAACAGUUUACAUCUUGAUAUUGUUAAGUACAAUAUUCUUAUUGAUGCAUUCUGCAAGGAUAAAAAGCUUGAUACUGCAAGGGCCCUUUUCAGUAACCUUUCUUCCAAGGGAUUGCAACCUGAUGUUAAGACAUACAAUACAAUGAUACAAGGUUUUUGUGAAGAAGGCCUACUGCUUGAAGCUAAAGAGUUGUUUGUUAAAAUGGAACAUAAUGGUUGUUUGCCAAAUGAUGUCACUUACAACACUAUUAUCCGAGGAUUUAUUGGACAACACAAGUGCUAUGAGGCAUUAAUACUGGUUGAGGAAAUGGUUCAAAGGGGUUUUUCAGCAGAUGCAUCCAAUUCUUCCUUGGUCAUAGAUAUACUCACAACUAAAGGACAAGAUGCUGCUGUCCAAGAAGUGAUAAAGAAGUUCAUGCCCAAAGAUAGUCAUGGAAAUGCAAGAGAUUGAGUAAAGUGCUUAAGGUGUGAAGGUUUGACCGUGACUGGAAAAAAAUUGAAGAUUUUGUUGGUUCAAAGACAGUGAUUCAGUGCAGGCUCUUUAUAUAUCUUGGCUAAAUAAUUCCAUUAGCAGACCCGAAGUCGUGCCCAAAAUACUUUUUGAAGGUCCAAAAAAUGAUACUAUAGCACAUGUGCCACCACCUCGAAAGGAACCAAAAAAUGUUUUAGCACCAUUACAAGCUUUCAUGGUUAUCCAUCCUUGUUGAAUGCCCUUACACCUGGAUAUUCUCCAUGGGAUGACACUUCCAUGCUCAUACAUUCUCCAUCAGGUGGAAUCAUGCUAUCCCAGGAUGAAUACAAUCUUCAUGGAGUCGAAG